AAUGGUCUGGAAUCCCUACAGAUCUCUAAAACUGUGUUUUUGCUUGAAUGUUAGAAGUGACAUGGGAAUGAAGUCCACCAUGAAAGAGUUGCAGAGAGACAGAGCCAAUCCUUCAAACAUAGGAAACUACACAUAAGCUCCCUUAUAUGUGGACACAUUUACUCAAAACUGGAUGCUUUAGGGGCAACAACUGGGCAAACAUACAGAUUUUUUUAAUGUGUGUGGUAGCAAGAAGACAAAGGAGAAAUUGGAAACUCCACACACUUUGUCAAGACCAGGAAUUUAAUAUAUCAAUGAUCAGUAAAUAUACUGUAAAUAAGAAAUAUAAGUAAAGAACAGGUAAUUAGAAUACAAAUGAAUAUCUCUCAUCUUAUUAUCUCAAACCGCUUUUCUUGGUCAGGGUCUCAGCGGCAAAAUGAAUAUUGUCACGCAUGCAUGCCGGAGGAUCACCUUCCAGGUUUAUCGGAGUUAAACAAUACCAUCUUGGGUGAGAGGGAGUGCAGUCGUUAACAUUCUUGACUCUUUUGUCACCCACGGGAGCGAGAAGAUGCCCACAGAGGGCAAUUGACUCUGCCCUUAUUGGAUGGAGAACUAUAAAAGAGCGAACACCCCAGUGGAUGGCGUCUCAUAUUGGACCUGAACUGCAAGCAACAAGGAGCUCCCAAAGACUGUACCAAGUUAUCUUUAAAAGAAGUCAUGAAGACUCCUCUUUCUUUUUGUUUGAAUUAUUUUUAAAUGCCAUCCAGCAUUCUUUCUGUUUAGAAUUAUUUUGUUGGGAUUUAAAAGGGGUGACUUCCUUGAUGUUUUUUUGAGUGUCCUUUCAAUCGUCCACAAUAUACAUACUAGAAAAAUAUAUUCAAUUAAUAUUCAGUUUGUCUGCCUCUGUGGUCUGUGUAUUUAAUAAGUUUUUCACUCAUAUAUAGCCUGCUUAUGAAACAUUAUUCUUUCAUGUACAAUUUCUACUUAUGUUACAACGUUUGCUUUUCCUUUUUAUGAUACAUUCUGGGUUUUGUUUUCAUUAUUAUACUGUAUCAGUCAGUAAGAAAAUGUUUCUUGGGCUCUGCCAGGAGAGAUGCCAAUAUGGUCUUUUGUUUCCAGUGAUAUUCUAGCAUUGAGGAAAUCGGUGAUGCUCCCAGUUAAACGCUGGUUGGUUUAUUGUACCAAAAUAAUAUUAUGUUGAAUUUAUAUAAAAAAAAGUGUUGUUUUACAGUGGCUUUUGAGACACACUGGAGCACCACAGCUGCUGUCCUGCUAAAAACUGGGACUUUUGAAAUGAAGCCUUCCUUAUGUGUCCACCCUUCAAAUCUGUGCAGGCUCCAGCAGCAAUCUGAGGAUGACAGCAGCUUGGAGACAUCAGAGCAUCUCAGCAAAUUCUGUGAAUUUCUGGGCUAAAAUAUUAUUUAUUACAAUCUAA